rnacentral:rRNA from 1 species
UACGUAGGGUGCGAGCGUUAAUCGGAAUUACUGGGCGUAAAGCGUGCGCAGGCGGUUUUGUAAGCCAGAUGUGAAAUCCCCGGGCUUAACCUGGGAAUGGCAUUUGGGACUGCAAGGCUUGAGUGACGGCAGAGGAGACUGGAAUUCCUGGUGUAGCAGGUGAAAUGCGUAGAUAUCAGGAGGAACACCGAUGGCGAAGGCAGGUCUCUGGGCUGACACUGACGCUCAUGCACGAAAGCGUGGGGAGCAAACAGG